UGCGGUGGGUCCCGUGUUGGUACGGGAAGGCGGCUGUUAACCGUUUUGGCGCAGGUUCGAUUCCUGCCACCGCAG
rnacentral:tRNA from 1 species